UCGAUGGAUUGAGAACACACGAGCCUUGUCCUCUCGUACAAGUGCAGUAUUGAGCUGAGCACACUAGAAGUAGCACUACACGGGCAACCUCAUGCACGCCAUUGUUUGUUAGGCAAAGAUACUUGAUUAAAAGUAGGAGGCCCAUGGCGUCCACGGCGGUCGCCGGCGGCCAGGUCCUGGACGCCUCAAACCCGGCGGUGGCCCGCGUGCGGCAGCUCAUCGGCGGCCUGGAAUAUUCGCAAGAUGGGUGGAGCCGGUGCUGGGAGGAAGGCGUGACGCCGUGGGACCUGGGCCAGCCCACGCCGGCCGUCGUCGAGCUUGCCAAGUCCGGGACGCUGCCCGGCGACGCCGCCACCGUCCUCGUCCCGGGAUGCGGCACGGUCAGUCCGUCUCCAUCGUCAGCUUGCAUUAUUGGUCGCACCUCACACGCUCCACCACUAGCUCCUCGCCGCUAUGCAUCUUGCCUUGCUUUGAUGUGGACUCAAUUCGUGCAGGGGUACGACGUGGUGGCGCUCUCCGGCCCCGGUCGCUUCGUCGUCGGCCGACGGGAGCUUGUUCGCCUUCGUCGUGGCGGACUUCUUCACCUGGGAGCCGCCGGAGCUGUUCGACCUCAUCUUCGACUACACAUUCUUCUGCGCUUUCCACCCGUCGAUGAGGCCAGCAUGGGCAAAGCGAAUGGCCGACCUGCUCAAGCCCAAUGGCGAGCUCAUUACCCUCGUACCUGGUCAGGAGGCCGGCCCGCCAUUCAACACAACAGUGCUCGAGUAAGACGCCGCCAUCGUCCUCGUCAUGGACGACGGCACUAGCUGUUUGUGCUCCAUCUUCAGUACUAGCAGCAAAUGCUAACACAUGCAGUUACGAGGAGGUGCUGAAGCCCCUGGGUUUCGUGAUCACUUGCAUCCAAGACAACGAUGUGGCUGUUAAACCACGACAGGGGAUGGAGAAAAUCGCAAGGUGGAAGAGGAUGGCAAACCCAACCAAUCUGGACUCUCAAGAGUAACACUAUCAACGAGAUUUCAACGCCCACAAUAUGCAAUGAAAUUAAGCACCAGUGAAAUGAAAACGUAUACUCAUUAUAUGGAAGACUCCAGCUCUGUCUUGUGUGUAGUAAUUGGUAAUACUGUUCGUUAUAUGUUUACCAACAUAUCAUAUAUGUAUUGUGCAAAACAGUUCUCUGCA